UGUGUGUGACGGCCCAGCUAUUAGGGCCUGGGGGGCGGGGCCCAAGAGCUGUUGAUUCAACAUUUACAACAGCAGUUACAACAGCAUCUUCCAGCCAGUCUGUUGACUCUGGCCUCUGCCUGAGGUCUGGGUCCAGGCACACAGGGGGUGGCAAGGGUUCUGCAGUUCUCGUCCAUCCCCUCCUGAGUGUGAGCUGUGAGCAUCCUGUGACCUGGGGGCUCAGGCAGCCUGCAGAACCCUUCUGAAAUCUGAAGGGGCAGCACAAUGUGGAGGAGGGGGGAGCUCAGGACAGCUGGGGCAACGGGGCCCUAUUCGGUCUCAAGGAGUCUCGCAGCCUGCAUCUUCUCCCCACUGCACCCCGAGUUCCCCAUUGGCAUGGUGAAGGGGCUGAGUGGAUGCCUGAUGGCCUGACACUGGGAUGUAGGAUUGUGCUCUCUCUCUGUCCCUUUCUUUGUCUCUCUCUCUCUCUCUUCUCAUUAAGACGGCCAGACAACAGUUUGAGCAAACCAAGGAGAGCCCUAGCCCUUUUUAUUACUUCUCUGAGGACAAAAUUUGUAGGCCAAGGGGAAACCUAGUCAUUGUGCCCUUUUGUCUUUCUGAAUUACUCCCUAAUCUAUCUAUUAAAAAACAACCUCAAGCAGGAUCCUAAAUAAAUGGGCUUUAAGCAAGGGAAUUAUCGAUGUGAUUCAUUCUCCCUCAGGGCAGAUAUGCAAUUUAUCUUUCAGCAAAGCACAUAGUGGCUUAACAUAUUGAGCCUCAGAACAAUGGCCAUUAGUCCCGACUGUCCCUCAGGAGGAAGAAGCAGCGUUACUGAGUCAGUGCCGGGGCUCUGACCCCAUUACGGUCUUCUCUGGGGGAGCUCCCAUAAUGGUGACAUCUUAACUAAAAUGGGCUGGGCCAGUGGACAGGCCUGGUAAAGGGGGCACACAGUGUGGCCAGGGGCUGAGCAGAGCCAGGCGAGGGGUGAACCCCUCCUUCUCAUGGAGAUGGCAGGGGCUGCUCCUCAGGAGCCUGUGUAGAUUGACUUGCUCCCAUCCACCCCAUCUCCUUGCAGAUUGCUGCAAGGAGGACUCCCCAACCCCCCUGUGCCCUAGGGGCCUUCACUCCUUGAGUUUGCUGUGCCCUGAAGGGAUGUGGGGCAGGGGGAGGGGUGGGGUUGAGGGGUGAUAUGUUAGUGGUUGGCCUGACUUUGGCACCUAUGCACUUGGCCCCGGGGCAGCUGCUGCCCUACUCAUCCACCACCCCUGAAUCAUGGGCUGGAACAGGGCCAGGGACGUGGGAUUGAACCCAUUCUUCUCUUCGGUUUCCGGAGAUGGCUGCAAUCUGCUCUUCUGAGCGCUCCUAGCCCAACCGCCUCACCCCCGCUAGGCCUGGUCAGGUACAGUGUGCUUUCCUCGCUGGCCCGGGGCAGCACUGCCUGCACCCCGCUCUGCCCAGCACAGCCCUGCGUUCCCGACGCCCAGCAUCCAGGGGCCUGUGGUGCAAUGUUGGUGUUACCGGCUGGAUUAUGAGUAAACUUUUCCUGAAUCAUAGAACCUUGUGGAAACAGAACCCCUUGGCAAUUUAAAUCAUUAUCAGAGGGAUGCUUGGGUGGCUCAGUGAUUGAGCGUCUACCUUUAGCUCAGGUCCUGAUCCAGGGUCCUGGGAUCGAGUCCCACAUCGGGCUCCUUGCGGGGAACCUGCUUCUCCCUCUGCCUACGUCUCUGCCUCUCUCUGUAUCUCUCACGAAUAAAUAAAUAAAAUCUUAAAAAAAAAAAGCGUUCUCAGAACCGAAGAAUUAUAGAUCAACAGAACCUCAAGUUUGGAAAAGAGUUUUAAAGAUUCCUUCCAGCACAGAGGUCUUGUCUGCCUGCUUUCCUCGCCUGCUGUCUCCUUGAAAGGAAGCUUGUCCUUGUGGUAGAUAUUCCCAGCGCUUCUCCUUUCCUUCCUGGAUCCGUGGGUGUCCUCACUUUGCAGUUCCUUUGCAGUUAGGAAGGGCAGCGUGGUGUUUCUGGCCUGUGAAAUACGAGCAAGCGCAGUGUGUCGGAUUCUGGGUGGAGGCAGUGAGGAGCCCCUGGGUCGCUCUGUCUUCCUCUUGGCACUGAUGAGGACAGGUUUGUGCUGAGAUGAGAGAGCCACAAAUCAGAGCCACCUGGGUCACUCAGACUUUGCACAGAGGACGGUGCCCUGGUGAGGCCUGAGCCACAGCAGCCUCUGCAUGAGCUAGAGAUAAACUUGAUGAGACUUGGGGGCUGUUACCACUGUAUAAUGUAGCCUGUCCCUGGCUGUGAUGCUGUGAUUUAUAAUAAGAAAUAUGUGUAUUUAUAUUUGGUCUUUGUCCCAUUUCUGACACAAAGCUCCUAAAUUCCUUGGAAUCUUCUAAGGGAUAUAAGCCCUAAAGAUGUCUUUUGUUAGGUUGAUGAGGCCAUUCUUGGGCCACACCUAGGGUUGGGGGCUGGUUGCCAUUGGAGCCAACUGAACUACAGUUCUGCUCUCCAGCCUUUGGGGUGGAGGAAGCAGUGUGAGGUUGAGGUCAGUCACCAGUGGCCAAUGAUUUAAUCAAACAUGCCUAGGUAACUAAGCCUCCAAAAAACCCUGGAAGAAUGGAGUUCACAGAGCUUCUGAGUUGGUGAACACAUGGAGGUUCAGGGAAAGUGAUGCUCUUGGACAGUGUGGAGACUGUGCCCCUUCCCCACCUCUGGCCCCAUGCAUCUUUUCCAUUUGGCUGUUCCUGAGUUAUAUUCUUUUGUAAUAAACCAGUGAUCUAGUAAGGGAAAUGCUUCUCUGAGUUCUGUGAGCCAUUCUACCAAAUUAAUUGAACCCAAAGAGGGAGUCAUUAAAACCUCGUUGUAUAGCUGGUUGUCAGAAGCACAGGUGACAAGCUGGGUUUGCAGCUGGUGUCUGAAGGUGGGGAGGGGCAGUCUUGAAGGGCUGAGCCUUAGAAGUGGAAUCCAAUGCUAUUUUCAGGUAGAUAGUAUCAGAACUGAGUUGCCUUUGUAGGACACCCCACUAGUGUCUGGAGCGUUGCUCAUUCAUGGUAGGGGAAACCUACCCACCUUGGAAUUGGUACCAGAACCCCAAAUAUUGGCUAACAUACCUAGCCCGUAUUCCAAACUUCUAGGCACGGGAAUUCACCGUGACUGCGGCUUUUGGGUUCACUGCUGAGCAACUGUCAGACGUAGAAUUCUUUUUUCCUUCAAACUGAAAUCUGUUUCCUCAAAACUGCCUGGUUGCUCACUCCGAGUAGGUGAAAUUCAUCUUUGUAGUUUCCUUGUGGGUUCCCUGGGACUCUCCUUUCUCUCGUGCCAAUAGUUCUCACACUUUAACGUGCAUCACUUGGAGGGCUUGUUAAAAUAUAGUUUGCUGGGCUCCAUCCCCAGUUUCUGAUUCAGUAGGUUUGGGGCAGGACCUGGCGAUUUGCAUUUAAAAAAAUUUUUUUAUUAUUAUUAUUUUUUUGCAAUUUGCAUUUUUAAUAAGUUCCCAGGGAUUGCUACCACUGGUGGUCUGGGGACCACACUUUGAGAAUAAUUGCACUGUGCUGCCUGCUAGAUCUCUCCAGGGGCCUGCCUGCACCCCGCCCCCCACCCCACGUUGGACGUAGCUACAGAGGGAUCCUGAUGUGCCACAUCCUGUAGAACAGAACCCCGUGCUUUGAUCCUCCCAUAUUUGAGAUGGAACGGUCUGAGCCUGGCUCUGUCCUUUCCUUGGGCUGUGAGACUCCCUGGGCAUGGCCCAUGAUGUAGUCAUCUCUAUGGCCCUCUGCUUGACACCAGGCAGUCACAGCAGUAAGUAGGCGCUCAGUGAACGCUUACUGAGUGGAUGGAACGCCUUAUUCUCACCUCUGAAAUCUCUAAUCUUUAAGCUUUUUGUACAGAGACCCCUUUGGAACUCAAACUGCCCU
rnacentral:lncRNA from 1 species